rnacentral:rRNA from 1 species
GAAACGACUGCUAAGACUGGAUAGGAAAUAAAAAGGCAUCUUUUUGUUUUUAAAAGACCUUCUUCGGAGGGUAUGCUUAAAGAGGGGCUUGCGCCACAUUAGUUAGUUGGUGAGGUAAAGGCUUACCAAGAUUAUGAUGUGUAGCUGGACUGAGAGGUUGAACAGCCACAUUGGGACUGAGACACGGCCCAAACUCCUACGGGAGGCAGCAGUAGGGAAUUUUCGGCAAUGGAGGAAACUCUGACCGAGCGACGCCGCGUGAACGAUGAAGUAUUUCGGUAUGUAAAGUUCUUUUAUUGAAGAAGAAAAAAUAGUGGAAAAACUAUCUUGACGUUAUUCAAUGAAUAAGCCCCGGCUAACUAUGUGCCAGCAGCCGCGGUAAGACAUAGGGGGCGAGCGUUAUCCGGAAUUAUUGGGCGUAAAGGGUGCGUAGGCGGUUAGAUAAGUCUAUAAUUUAAUUUCAGUGCUUAACGCUGUCUUGUUAUAGAAACUGUCUUGACUAGAGUGAGAUAGAGGCAAGCGGAAUUCCAUGUGUAGCGGUAAAAUGUGUAAAUAUAUGGAGGAACACCAGAAGCGUAGGCGGCUUGCUGGGUCUUUACUGACGCUGAGGCACGAAAGCGUGGGGAGCAAACAGGAUUAGAUACCCUGGUAGUCCACGCUGUAAACGAUGAGUACUAAGUGUCGGGGCAACUCGGUACUGAAGUUAACACAUUAAGUACUCCGCCUGAGUAGUACGUACGCAAGUAUGAAACUUAAAGGAAUUGACGGGACUCCGCACAAGCGGUGGAUCAUGUUGUUUAAUUCGAAGAUACACGAAAAACCUUACCAGGUCUUGACAUACCCUGCGAAGCUAUAGAAAUAUAGUGGAGGUUAUCAGGGAUACAGGUGGUGCAUGGUUGUCGUCAGUUCGUGUCGUGAGAUGUUAGGUUAAGUCCUAAAACGAACGCAACCCCUGUCGUUAGUUACCAGCACGUAAUGGUGGGGACUUUAGCGAGACUGCCAAUUAAACAUUGGAGGAAGGUGGGGAUAACGUCAAAUCAUCAUGCCCCUUAUGAUCUGGGCUACAAACGUGAUACAAUGGCUGUUACAAAGAGUAGCUGAAACGCGAGUUUUUAGCCAAUCUCAAAAAGACAGUCUUAGUCCGGAUUGAAGUCUGCAACUCGACUUCAUGAAGCUGGAAUCGCUAGUAAUCGCGAAUCAGCAUGUCGCGGUGAAUACGUUCUCGGGGUUUGUACACACCGCCCGUCA